rnacentral:rRNA from 1 species
GACGGAGGGUGCUAGCGUUGUUCGGAAUUACUGGGCGUAAGGGGCGCGUAGGCGGCCGUUUGCGUCGGAUGUGAAAGCCCGGGGCUCAACCUCGGAACGGCAUUCGAUACGGGACGGCUGGAGACCGGGAGAGGAGAGUGGAAUAGCCAGUGUAGAGGUGAAAUUCGUAGAUAUUCGCAAGAACACCAGUGGCGAAGGCGGCUCACUGGCCCGAUACUGACGCUGAGGCACGAAGGCCAGGGGAGCAAACGGG